ensembl:lncRNA
GUAAAACCGGCACGUAGCUUGCAGGGGAAAACAUGGCGGUGUGUUCAUGGCUCUUUCCGGGUGGACUUGGCGUCACGGCGGCCAUGAUAGAUGUUUUCUAUCCUCCGUGGAGUUACUGUGAGGAGUUUGAAAAUAAGAAGAUGGUGAACACGCCAAACGUGGAAGACUCUUCAUCGUGAGGACGUCAGCAAGCCGGCGUUUGCCUAAAUAUCUGCGGGUCAUUUCAACGUGGACGGUUUCUGGUCACCUCCCGUCCCAGAGCUCGCGGGAGGGACCGUUUGUCCGACGCGUGGGCCUUCCUUCAUCUGUAGCCUGUUAAUCCGGCUCCCUCCCAACUGGC